CACGUUCGGAUUGCAGUCUGCAACUCGACUGCAUGAAGCUGGAAUCGCUAGUAAUCGCGAAUCAGCAUGUCGCGGUGAAUACGUUCCCGGGUCUUGUACACACCGCCCGUCACACCAUGGGAGUCGGAAAUGCCCGAAGCCAGUGACCCAACCUUUAAGGAGGGAGCUGUCGAAGGCAGGUCUGGUAACUGGGGUGAAGUCGUAACAAGGUAAC
rnacentral:rRNA from 1 species